rnacentral:tRNA from 1 species
GCCGUUAUAGUUUAAAUAGAAUGUGUAAUUUGUAAUUAUAGGGUUUUAAUGGCU